AUGAACGCUGGCGGCGUGCCUAAUACAUGCCAGUCGAGCGAACAGACGAGGAGCUUGCUCCUCUGACGUUAGCGGCGGACGGGUGAGUAACACGUGGAUAACCUACCUAUAAGACUGGGAUAACUUCGGGAAACCGGAGCUAAUACCGGAUAACAUGUUGAACCGCAUGGUUCAACAGUGAAAGACGGUUUUGCUGUCACUUAUAGAUGGAUCCGCGUCGCAUUAGCUAGUUGGUAAGGUAACGGCUUACCAAGGCAACGAUGCGUAGCCGACCUGAGAGGGUGAUCGGCCACACUGGAACUGAGACACGGUCCAGACUCCUACGGGAGGCAGCAGUAGGGAAUCUUCCGCAAUGGGCGAAAGCCUGACGGAGCAACGCCGCGUGAGUGAAGAAGGUCUUCGGAUCGUAAAACUCUGUUAUUAGGGAAGAACAAAUGUGUAAGUAACUAUGCACGUCUUGACGGUACCUAAUCAGAAAGCCACGGCUAACUACGUG
rnacentral:rRNA from 1 species